rnacentral:lncRNA from 1 species
AACUCUCAAGGUGUAUUAGCUGAAUUAUCUUUUCGUUUUGAUAGUCUUUAGUAAAUAACGGAUUUUUAAAGUGUUAUGAGUCUACAACACUUAGUUUCAGCGAAAUUCAAUUAAAAAGUCACGUCAUAGAAGAGAGAAAAAUAUCAAUAUCUGCUUUCAAUAACUUGGCUUUCGUAGCAAAUUUGAGAGACUGUUUACUCCUGUCCAAAAAGAAAAGGACCGCGCUGGAAACUUGAGGAUUAACCCUUUUUGAAUUAAUAGUCGAAGUCGUAACCAGCUCGUAUGAAAAGUUUUCUCGACGUGUAAUAGUUAAUUUUAUUCAACAAUGCCAAGAAACAGAGUUCGCUCGAGAAACAGAAAAGAAAGAGAAAAAUAAAAAAAUAUUCUGUUGAACAA